AGAAGCUGAGGGAGGGAAACAACGGCCGCAGCGCCACUGAGAGGUCUACGCCCUUUACCCAGAACUGAAAAACAUCCACAUGGGUCAAAAUGACCCCUUUCCCAGUUCCAGAGUUACCCAAACGGCCCACAGCGGCACUCAUUCUGAUGAAGCUACACUAAAGUAUUUUAUAUUUAGAAGAAAGAUGAUCAGAGAGUAAACAUCACAGUUACUCCAAAUUCUGACCAUGGCUUGACAAUAAAUUCAUCACCUGGAAAGUUGUGGAAAUUCCAAUUAUCUGCAAGCUGGCAUUCAGCAGCCUUUCCUACAGUUAACUCGGGCCAUGUGACUAAGUUUUCACUGGUAGAAUGGGGCUGGAGUGACAUUUGCCCUACAGCUGCCAUGCACAGAUCUGCCCAAGCUCUUUGCCCUUCUGACUGACUGGGAGGGCCACACUCAGGGUGACCUUGGAAUUCAGUUGUUGGAACCACCAUAAGUCUAAGGACUUUAAUGAAGACUGAAGCUGAGUCCUUCCUCUCUCCCCCUAAACCUGGAACUCUUAUGUGAGUGAGAAUAAAACAAAUUAUUUAAGCCACUGUACAGUAGUCUCAGCUUAUGUUCAGGGGAAAUGUCCUGAGACCCCCAGUGGAUGCCUGAAACCACAGAUACUACCGAACUCUGAUAUGUACUAUGUUUUUCCUAUACUUACAUACCUAUGAUAAAGUUCAAUUUAUAAAUUAUGCACAGUAAGAAAUU